CUGUAUGUCGAUUCUGUAGAUCUCGAACAAUAACUCGCUUAUCACUUCGACGCUCACUUACACUUCGCAUUCGAUCUCACCUGACCUUGAUUUGGUAUUCUGUAAACAUCACUAGCUCACUUGCGAAGUGAAGUGAGCUUCGAUAUAUCUUUCGAGUUACUAGUGAUUGGCGCUUAAUGAGAAGAUACCAAUCGUGGUUUGGUGCAUAGAUUGUGGUGUUUUGGCUGCGUGUGGACAUAUUUUGAAACGGGAUAAUGAAAAGCAAUGAUUGACUUCCUGGAGAGAAACCCAGAUCUGGCAAAGGGUUUUUCAAAAACUCAAUAUGCCAGAGAGUGGAGCACUAGGAAGUUUUGUCAUAGCGGCUCAAUAAUAUGGGUGGGACGAUUAAAACAUACAAGCAGUGGACCAAACAAUCAGACCCAAUACAAUUGGUUCCCCAGCCUCCCUCUUUAAUACAAAGCAGUGGACAUUCAGAAAUUUCAGUGAGUUGAAGAGCAGCAGUUAGAAAUUCGGCGGCCCAAUG
rnacentral:lncRNA from 1 species